CCGCGACCCCAGGUCAGGCGGGGCCACCCGCCGAGUUUAAGCAUAUAAA
rnacentral:rRNA from 1 species